ensembl:lncRNA
AUUUUCUUAACUUCAUUGUUGAUUAAGGGCUUGUCAGUCAGCAUUUCACUGUGAGAUCCUGUUGUAUUCAGCAUUUCACUGUGAGAUCCUGUUGUAAUUCAGCAUUUCACUGUGAGAUCCUGUUGUAUUCAGCAUUUCACUGUGAGAUCCUGUUGUAUUCAGCAUUUCACUGUGAGAUCCUGUUGUAUUCAGCAUUUCACUGUGAGAUCCUGUUGUAUUCAGCAUUUCACUGUGAGAUCCUGUUGUAUUCAGCAUUUUACUGUGAGAUCCUGUUGUAAUUCAGCAUUUCACUGUGAGAUCCUGUUGUAUUCAGCAUUUCACUGUGAGAUCCUGUUGUAUUCAGCAUUUCACUGUGAGAUCCUGUUGUAUUCAGCAUUUCACUGUGAGAUCCUGUUGUAUUCAGCAUUUCACUGUGAGAUCCUGUUGUAAUUCAGCAUUUCACUGUGAGAUCCUGUUGUAUUCGGAGCAAUUUGAUUUGAUGCUAGCAAGCACAUGAAUUCCCACUACUUUUAACAGGCGAGACAAAAGUAGUGAGAUUAACCACAGAGAUAAUAUAUCUGUCUGGUAACCGGAUAUAGAUUAACCACAGAGAUAAUAUAUCUGUCUGGUUUCCCGGAUAUAGAUUAACCACAGAGAUAAUAUAUCUGUCUGGUUUCCCGGAUAUAGAUUAACCACAGAGAUAAUAUAUCUGUCUGGUUUCCCGGAUAUAGAUUAACCACAGAGAUAAUAUAUCUGUCUGGUUUCCCGGAUAUAGAUUAAGCCUGGUCCAAAGGCCGUCUGUAUAAAGCAGAUAUAGAUUAAGCCUGGUCCAAAGGCCGUCUAUAUGAAGAUGAUAUAGACUAAGCCUGGUCCAAAGGCAGUCUGUAUGGUCCAAAGGCCGUCUAUAUGAAGAUGAUAUAGAUUAAGCCUGGUCCAAAGGCCGUCUGGAUGAAGCAGAUAUAGAUUAAGCCUGGUCCAAAGGCUGUCUAUAUGAAGAUGAUAUAGACUAAGCCUGGUCUAAAGGCCGUCUGUAUGAAGCAGAUAUAGAUUAAGCCUGGUCUAAAGGCCGUCUGUAUGAAGCAGAUAUAGAUUAAGCCUGGUCCAAAGGCCGUCUAUA